UGGACUUUCCUGGCCACUCAUCAUGCCACAG
rnacentral:piRNA from 1 species